GUGGUAUUAAUUAGAGGGAGGGGAGGAGUAGUUACAUGUUAUGCAAAAAUGUAAUAUUAUUAAAAUGAGAGAAGGAUGCGCGAGAUUAUGCAUGAUGAAAAAGAGGAUGUAAUGUAUGCGGCGCUCGGGCAACAAACGUGGAGUAGGCAAUGCCUCCGUUAGGAAACUUCCCAUAAUGAAAUACUCGUUUGAUGACAAAUUGUUGCUAAUCAUGUAUUCGCCUUGUGUGUGUAUACGUCGAAGAAUACGGACGACCAAUUUGUUGUUGAAACAAGAGCAAACAAAAAGUUGCCGGAUGUUUGUUAUUAAGCAGUAAUUACGGACUUGAUUAUUCCUUCGAUCCUUGUCGACAUUAAGCAGCUACACCUAUAUUUUUAGAUAUUAUCGUAACAUUCGUGAAGCUUGUGUACGAGGCUUAGCGACCGGCCACCUGAAGACAUAAACUGGACACAAAGUAAACGUUUUUUUUUCUUCUCUAUUUCUUCCACUCUAUGGGAAACGUGAAUGGAUCGAAGUAUGGGAGUGAGCAGGCUUGAAGUGCUUUUCAAUUGUUAUUUGCUACCGUACGAGUUUUACAAAGGAGUGUGUAAAUAUGCUCAUAUUCCUCGACGUGGACAUGAAAGGAAAUCAAACCACAAGAUGCUUCACAGCAGAUUACGAGAUCCGAUGAUGUCCGAUGAUAAGAUCAGAUAAGGAACUUCCAUAUACAAAUGAAAA